GCGGGCCGCAGGUUUAGUCCUGGUUGUGGAGUGAGAUGCUGAGAUGGGUCUGGAGGGAUGCAGGAUGUUCUAGUCCGUUAGGAUGGUAAAUAGGGACCUCGCUCCGCGAAGGAUGCUGAACGGGGUCUGGAAGAAUGCAAGAUGUCCUGGUCCGGGCCAGGAAUGGUUACAUGGAUAGUGGGAUGUCAGAAGGGGAAUUGUAGUGAAUCACCCUUCUAUCCAAUCAACUGACAACACAGCAAUGAUCCCACAUCAUCCCAGCCCGAGAAAAAAUCAGGGUUGGUGCCGGUGCUGAGCAGCUACUGGCCAGGAGCUGGAUGUCAGAUCCCUGGGAGGAUAUGAGAGGAUGUUUCCAGAAAGACCGAACUAAAAAGGAACGUCCAACCCUGAAUGUGGAGGACAUCCUCCUCUGGGCUGGGCUCCCAGACUGAGUAAGAAGAAAAUAAGUUGAGCUCGCCCCCCCCCCCCCCNNNNNNNNNNNNNNN
ensembl:processed_transcript 2010001A14Rik RIKEN cDNA 2010001A14 gene